AGCCGAGCGGUAGAGUUUCUUCGGAAACUUGAGAGCGGCGCACGGGUGCGGAACACGUGUGCAACCUGCCUUUAUCUGGGGGAUAGCCUUUCGAAAGGAAGAUUAAUACCCCAUAAUAUACUGAAUGGCAUCAUUCGGUAUUGAAAACUCCGGUGGAUAGAGAUGGGCACGCGCAAGAUUAGAUAGUUGGUGAGGUAACGGCUCACCAAGUCUGCGAUCUUUAGGGGGCCUGAGAGGGUGAUCCCCCACACUGGUACUGAGACACGGACCAGACUCCUACGGGAGGCAGCAGUGAGGAAUAUUGGACAAUGGGUGAGAGCCUGAUCCAGCCAUCCCGCGUGAAGGACGACGGCCCUAUGGGUUGUAAACUUCUUUUGUAUAGGGAUAAACCUACUCUCGUGAGAGUAGCUGAAGGUACUAUACGAAUAAGCACCGGCUAACUCCGUGCCAGCAGCCGCGGUAAUACGGAGGGUGCAAGCGUUAUCCGGAUUUAUUGGGUUUAAAGGGUCCGUAGGCGGAUCUGUAAGUCAGUGGUGAAAUCUCACAGCUUAACUGUGAAACUGCCAUUGAUACUGCAGGUCUUGAGUGUUAUUGAAGUAGCUGGAAUAAGUAGUGUAGCGGUGAAAUGCAUAGAUAUUACUUAGAACACCAAUUGCGAAGGCAGGUUACUAAGCAACAACUGACGCUGAUGGACGAAAGCGUGGGGAGCGAACAGGAUUAGAUACCCUGGUAGUCCACGCCGUAAACGAUGCUAACUCGUUUUUGGGUUUUCGGAUUCAGAGACUAAGCGAAAGUGAUAAGUUAGCCACCUGGGGAGUACGAACGCAAGUUUGAAACUCAAAGGAAUUGACGGGGGCCCGCACAAGCGGUGGAUUAUGUGGUUUAAUUCGAUGAUACGCGAGGAACCUUACCAAGGCUUAAAUGGGAAAUGACAGGUUUAGAAAUAGACUUUUCUUCGGACAUUUUUCAAGGUGCUGCAUGGUUGUCGUCAGCUCGUGCCGUGAGGUGUUAGGUUAAGUCCUGCAACGAGCGCAACCCCUGUCACUAGUUGCCAUCAUUAAGUUGGGGACUCUAGUGAGACUGCCUACGCAAGUAGAGAGGAAGGUGGGGAUGACGUCAAAUCAUCACGGCCCUUACGCCUUGGGCCACACACGUAAUACAAUGGCCGGUACAGAGGGCAGCUACACAGCGAUGUGAUGCAAAUCUCGAAAGCCGGUCUCAGUUCGGAUUGGAGUCUGCAACUCGACUCUAUGAAGCUGGAAUCGCUAGUAAUCGCGCAUCAGCCAUGGCGCGGUGAAUACGUUCCCGGGCCUUGUACACACCGCCCGUCAAGCCAUGGAAGUCUGGGGUACCUGAAGUCGGUGACCGUA
rnacentral:rRNA from 1 species